AUCAACGUCCAUACCACCCUGAAAGCGCCCGAUCUCGUCUGAUCUUGGAAGCUAAGCAGGGACGGGCUUGGUUAGUACAUGGAUGGGAGACCGCCUGGGAAUACCAGGUGUUGUAGGCU
rnacentral:rRNA from 1 species